UCCCUGGUGGUCCAGGGGUUAAGACUCUGUGCUUCCAAUGCAGGGUCCUGGGUUCAAUCUCUGGCCAGGUAA
rnacentral:tRNA from 1 species